rnacentral:rRNA from 1 species
AUGUACAUACCAUAUGACCAAGUAUUGCUAGAAGUUGAUCUCUGGAUUAAAAAGGAAGGGGAUGGGUCAGCCGACCAAAAAUUACUUUCCAAAUACCUUGAGCUGGAUGUCCGCACAGAAGGCAAUGGGUUCAUAUAUGGUUGUAUCCCUGGGGACACUGUCAGCUUGGAAAUAGACUGUGCGUACCUCACAAAGAGUGUUGAGGCAGUGAUCGAGGUCUCUGCAGAGGUUAGCCGGCCUUGCCAUGUGAGAUUCGUCGCUUUCAGCAGUGGCUAUGACGAUGAGAUUGUGCUCUUCGACGGAAAAUUCACUGGGGAGAAGGUUUUCAAGCUUGUUGUUGCUGUGAAGGCAAAGAGAGAACUGAAGGUUCAGCUAGACGUGGAGGAAUUAGUUUUCCAGUGGACUUUUCAGGGUGAAAAUGACGGAGUUCUUAGCUCCCCUGAUGACUCUAUGUUGAAGUACGGCCAAUUUGAUGUGGAGGAGUUGAAUUUAAGUAGCAGUUGGGUUUCCUUUUGUGCCCUCGUGACAAAAUAG